GUGAGGAAUAUUGCGCAAUGGAGGCAACUCUGACGCAGCCAUGCCGCGUGCAGGAAGAAGGCGCUACGCGUUGUAAACUGCUUUUAACCGGGAAGAAACCCCAGGACGUGUCCUGGGUUGACGGUACCGGAGGAAUAAGCACCGGCUAACUUCGUGCCAGCAGCCGCGGUAAUACGAAGGGUGCAAGCGUUAUCCGGAUUCAUUGGGUUUAAAGGGUGCGUAGACGGAGCGUUAAGUCAGUGGUGAAAUCCUGCAGCUUAACUGUAGACUUGCCAUUGAUACUGGCGCUCUUGAGUGCGCUUGAAGUGGGCGGAAUGUGCCGUGUAGCGGUGAAAUGCUUAGAUAUGGCACAGAACACCAAUUGCGAAGGCAGCUCACUAAGGCGAUACUGACGCUGAGGCACGAAAGCGUGGGGAUCGAACAGGAUUAGAUACCCCUGUAGUCC
rnacentral:rRNA from 1 species